UCACAUUACAGCAUCAUAUUAGAAAAGGGUUAGGUAUUUAAACUGUCAAGACUCCAUUAGAGCUAUCGUCCAAGUGUGAAACUGGAGUCAGGGACAAGUUAACCCCAAUUGUGUCUUGUUUAACUUCAUCAUUUAAGCAGCUGACCCUUUUCUGACAAGUUCUUUGUACUGUUUGGGCAUCUCAUAAGAACAUAAGAACAGCCGUACCGGGUCAGACCAAAGGUCCAUCUAGCCCAGUAUCCUGUCUACCGACAGUGGCCAAUGCCAGGUGCCCCAGAGGGAGUGGACCAACAGGCAAUGAUCAUCUUUUUACAACUGAACUGUUCUUUUUUCUUGCAUUUCUUGGAUUUUUUCUACAUGUGAAAUGAACAUGAGUAUUGGAAGGAUUCCCCCUUCAAAGAUCUAGGCCUUGAUGUGACAGAGUGGUAAGAAGGGACCCACAGAAAGCCCAUUGCAGCUCCCUGAUUCAGGGCUGCCUGGACCUCACACAAGUUUGGGCUGUAGCCCUAACUUACAGCACUUACUCCACAGUGCAGGAUAGGGCAUAGAGGAGUUUCACUAUGUCUCUUCCUACCGGUCUCAAUGCUGACCUGUCCUCAGAAUUCCUUACACAUAUCCUCCUGCUGCAUACACUGGCAGAGAAUUCUCUUGCAAAUAGGCAAUUCUCCACCAGUUAACUCCAGGCAGUUUAAAGCCCCCAUGUACUGCUUCUGCCUGCAGAAUUUGACUCCCUUGAUUCUUGGAGGGUGACAAUUCUAUUUAUGUCACCACCUGAGUAAUGGAACUGCAGAGCCACAAAACAGUACUUCAGAAAUAUAUAAUAUCUCUGUCUGAAUUUGCUUGAGAUCCCUAUUCUAAUUCUUCGCAAUUUAUGGCUGAGCAUCUGAAUGGAAUGGUUUAACACUCUGAUAGUAUGUCUACACAGUACACCCUGACUCAGGUUUAAGCCCAAGCAGCAUUUCCAUCCACACAGAAAUCAGUCUGAUUUGGGCCAGGAAUCCCUCUGGACUCAGGCCCAUGGUCUCUGCAAGGGUGGUGGUAGGUCAGAGCACCUGUGACGUGGGUCAAAGCCCAGGCAUUUUGCAGUUUGGACACAGUUCAAGCCAGGUCACCAGACUCAGGUCUGGAGAGUCCUCCAACUGUAGCAAUCUUCCAGGGCUGUGUUUCCCAACUCUUCCAUCCCAAAACUUCUCACUCAUUUCCAAGGAGCUCAAAGCAAACUCCUGGUUGAAAUGCAGCUGCUCAGCAUUUAACCCUUCACUUCCAUGUGGAAUGCUUAGCUGGAAAUACAGUUAACCCUCAUAUGAAUUAACUAUGACCAGCACUAAGAAGAAGUUCUGCAUUGUGUGCUUCUAGCUGUCCAGAGGAACACAGAUGGAUUCUGGUUAACCUCUGAUCCAAGGCGAGCAAGACAUUCAACUUCAGCAAGAACACAAGAGAUGUCUAGAAAGCUACAUCCAAGCAGCUGACGGUGUUGGGUCUCAACCACACAGCUAAACAAUGCAGAAAGCAAAUCAAGCAGCUGAAGACAGACUACCUCAAGGUCAAAGAUUCUAACAGCAUCUCUGGGAACUCACGGUCUUCUUGCCUCUUUUACACUGAGGCCACUGUGGUGCAAGACAAUCUGCUGAGCAGUGAUGGCACCCUCAUAACCCCCCUGCCCCUCCAAUCACAGGCAUUACCAGAGGAAAGCCAGCCACCAGGUGAAAGGCAAGAAGUUAUCCUGGUGUUGAGGCUGGUAACCAAAGAGUUCAUACUGCUGGAGCAGCUACAGCACAUCCUGGAUCUGUACUUGGAGGAACUGUUUGGGGACAGCCCUGGGUAGCAACCUGCUGCAGAACUGGCAUCAGAGCAAGUGCAGAGCCUGGCCCUUCCACCACCGCAGGACAAACGUGGCACCAAGAGCCUGGGGAAGUAUACCCACCUUCUGCAGGCAAGGAGAAAGAGAGUCUGAGAUGAGUUAAUGAAAAGCCAGAUAAAAUAAAUCACCAGAUAAAUUUCCAGAUGGAGUAUCAGAAGAAUAAGGAUGCAAGAAGGGUGGAAAGAAAGAUGUUGCACAGCGUGAGGAGAGAUUAGUGGAGAGAUUCAUGGAGCAUGAUCCCAGACUGAGGGGGGAAGACAGGAGUAGCAGGAGGAGCUGUUCAAGCAAUUACUUGCGCUUAUGGCUACCAGACUGCAGGCUCCCCUGCCACUUAUAACUCCUGCACCAGCCACACAUUGUGAAUCCUCUCCAUGGUAUUGUGUGCUGCAGACUAUGCAGCCUUGGAACAGUUCAGUGGUUGCCUGGACCAUCUCACAGGCAAUGAACAGUAGCACAUGGAACAGACAUUAUACCCUGUGCAUUCAUCCACUCCAGUCCAGUUGCAGCCCUCAUGUGUAAAAUGCACCAGAAAGGCCAAGGAGAACAGAGGGACAGAGAAUACCCAGAAAUAGCUGUCCAUGUCAUUUGGUAACAUACACCUUUCAGUGUUUUGGCAAUGAGUUUGGUUCUUGCAUGGUACGUUUUGAUUGCAGCUGGUCUGCCUUUCUGGUUUUUAUACUGGUAUGUAAAUAGAUGUGUAAAAUAAAGUUUUGAAUUUUCA